AGGUGGAACAACUACAGUGGUGGAGGCCAGCUCUAGAGCCCUGGAUUCAGCUCCUGCAGUAGCUACAGAGCUCUCAGUCUGCAGGGUCCUGGAUGCUCCGCCGGGCGGG
rnacentral:pre_miRNA from 1 species